GCGUUCGGCAGCCCGUUCGCGCACCGCGUAGAGGUGGCGCUGACGCUCAAGCGGGUGCCGUACGAGCUGCUCGUGGAGGACCUGGCCAACAAGAGCGACCUGCUGCUCGCCCACAACCCCGUCCACCAGUCGGUGCCCGUCCUCCUCCACGGCGACCGCGCCGUCUGCGAGUCCCUCCUCAUCGUCGAGUACGUGGACAAGGCCUUCCACGACGACGACGAGGGGAGGGCGCCACGGCUCCUCCCGGCGGACCACUACGACCGCGCCACAGCCCGCUUCUGGGCUGACUUCAUCGCCAACAAGUGCUUGAAGCCGCUGUGGCAGGCGAUGUGGACGGACGGCGAGGAGCAGGCGCGGCUGACGAGGGAGACCAAGGAGAGCCUGGGGAUCCUGGAAGCACAGCUGGAGGGGAAGAGGUUCUUCGGGGGCGACGCACUCGGUUUCGUCGACCUCGCCGCAUGCACGCUGGCUCACUGGCUCGGCGUGCUGGAGGAAGUCACCGGGGGCGGGGUGCGCCUGAUGAAGGAUGGCGAGUACCCUGCUCUGCGCCGGUGGGCCAAGGAGUACACCUCCGACGAGGUCGUCAGGCGGUCCCUGCCGGACAGGGACGAGCUCGUCGCCUACUUCACCAAAAACAAGGAGAGGUACAGGUCGUCGAUGGUCAAGGCAGCAGCGGUGCAGUGA
rnacentral:rRNA from 1 species